rnacentral:lncRNA from 1 species
CUCGCUAAAAGGAACCUAAUGGAUCGUACACCAUGUAUGGUAGAGAUUGAAGAAACAACGGAGAUGAGUAAGGAUAAUUAAAUGGUUUAUUUAUGGCAAGGAUUAAUUAAUAUGUUAAUUAAUCAAAUGAAUAAAGUUCGUUAAAGACCUCGGGUUAGUUUUGGGCCUCAAGGCCCAAUGGGCUUCGAAUGUCAAGCCCAUUGACUUAAGUUGUAUGACAACUUAAUGACUAAAUAUUCACAAAGGCCCAAACAGCCCAAUAACACCCUAUGGCCGGCCAUAUUGAUAAAGGAGUGGGUUUUGGACUUAUUAAAAGUUUGCCACUCCAAUAAAGGUAGGUAUAAAUAUGACUUUAUAGUCUUUUCUUCAUUAGGGUUUCUUUUAGAGAAAAGAUGAGAACACAAUGUCUCUCCCUUCCUCUCUAAGAGGCCGGCCAGCCUAGAGGAUUUUAGCUAGCAAUCUUACUUCCUCUAGGUCACUCAUCUCUUCUUCAAGUCCUUCCUUGGUGUGGAAAAAUUAGAGGUUCUCAAUUUUGGGAACUUGGAGAAUCCUUUCUACCAUCCUCCUCCAAGAAAUCGAUGGAACUAAGAAGCAAGGAAUGAAGGCCCUCUCAUUUGGUGAUUAGUCUUUGCUUAUGCAAAGAGGAAUCAACAAAGGUAUAAAAUAUCUCAACUCACUUUGUUCUUGAGUUAAGUCUUGGUUCACCUUUCUACUAAGCUUUGAAUUUCAUGGGUAAUGUUUUGUUUUUGAGUGCAUACAAGCAUGAUUCCGUCUUUAAAUGUUAAUUGCAUGCCAUAGAUGUUGCUCAAAUGAACAUGUUUUUCACAAAAUUUCCUUCAAGGAUGUGAUAGUGGCACUGGCGCCUCUCACUUUCCUAGUUUUUAGGAUUAUUACUAUGUUUGGAUGAGGGAAAUAAACUUGAAAUUUGGAUAAAAGUCAGAAUUUAUAAAUUGACAUGCACCAAUUCCCUUGUUUGGAUUUAUAACAUAGAAAUUUAGAAUUUUCGCGUGAAAAAAAACUUGGAAUUUGAGGCCUCCAAUUUCCAAGUUUAAAUUCCAUGUAAAUAAAUGUCAUUUCCCAAUUUCUAUGAUUGGGAGUUUAAAAUUAACAAAUUCCGUUUUCAAUUCCAUUGUUCUUUUAAGUUAACCAAACAACAAAAUUCACAAAUUCUAGAAAAUAAAAUCCCUUCAUUUAAAUUUCCUUCAUUUUAAAAUUCCUUAGUAAUCUUAAAUUUCUUAUUCCAAACAUAGUGUAAAAGGUUUUUCGAUGGAAUUUGGAGCGUUCUCGCUCGUUCCCUUUCGCAUUUAAUCUUCUAGCUGGCUUAUUUUGGCUAAUUAGGUUAUGGGUUUUUCUUAUUUGGCUAAUUAGAAUCUGCAUAAGCCUUUUAGGCGGUGUGUUUUUGCUUCUUCUUCUUGUUGAUGUUUUACUUUAUAAGUGGAAAAAAAUAUACAUUUUCUAAAAAACUUCAUUUUAAUCUUUAAAAAAGAUGAGUUUUAGACUAUAAUCUUAUAUAAGAUUAAAAUCUAAUUUUAGUCCCGGAUACAUUUAACAUCUCAUUUAUUAAUUAUAUUUUGAUGUUUUAUUUCUUUUUAUUUCUUAUUUUUAUUGUAUUAAUUACAUUUCAUUUUCAUUUCAUUCAUCAUAAUAUAUUUUGAUGCCUACAUUUAAGUUAACUAUUUUUAUUUUAUUUUAUAUAAUAUAGGAAUAUACAAUUUGUAUAAUCUUCAUUUGGGUACAUUAAAUCAUUUGAUAUAUUUUGGUAUAUCAAUUAAUACAAAUAUAUAGGUACAUUAAUUCAAUAUAAUACAUUUCAGUACGUACAUUUAUGUACAUUAAUUCAAUAUAAUACAUUUCAGUAUUGACAUUUAGGUAUAUUAGUUCAAUAUAAUACAUUUCGAUACAUACAUUUAGGUUCAUUAUAAUAUAUGUCGGUACAAUCAUUUCUGUAAUCUUAUGUAUUUACAUAUUUAUGUGUCACUAGUUUCUUUUAGGGUAAAUUACAUAAUACCCCAUCAGAUUUGAGGUCUAUUACAACCCCAUACAACAUCUUUAAAACAUUUUACUUUCAUACCUCACGUACUAUUUUAUUUCAAAAUACUACCUUCAUUAGAUUUUUCAUCCAUUGGUCUGUUAAAUGCUUACGUGGCUGCCACAUUUGUGCUGAUGUGGCUGUCACGUGGCAAAAGAAUAACUUUUUAUACAUUAAAAAUAUUAUAAUAUUGGCCCAUGGGGCCCACACAUAAAACAAUCUCCUAUCGUCUCCUGCCAUGUGGCAGUUUCUUCCCCCACAUAUUUGGGGACUCUUUUGAACUCUCCUAUCACCCUUAUCUCUCUUUCUCUUCUCCCUAUCUUCUUCCGUCUUUCUCUCCCUUAAAUUCUCAAGCUCUUUAUUCUCUCGGUGAAGCACCGAGAAGGUGGAGCGGCCAACAUCAUCACCACCUGGACAUGUCACCUUAACGACGUUCGUCAAACUUCUAGCCAGAAAUUAGGGCCUUGGUCUACAAGCUCAGACCACUAACUCGAAAUCCUACACUGCACAAUGACUUUUAUCAGUAUUCACUUCUUUAUCCGACCAUGGUGAGCCUUGAGGACCCCGAAUCCUUCUUAUUUUAAAGCUCUAUAUUGUUUUUAACCUUAAAAAUGAGUUUGGGGAACGAUUUGAUGCAGAACACACAUUGGGAGGAAUUUUCCCUAGUUUUUGGAUGACCGACCAGCCACAUUCAGAUCAUUUUUUAUGCCGUCUUUGAUAUUCUUUGGCCCUCGAACUGGUAUAAAUCGAUUCUCUGCAUUCUUAACUCUACUUUGGCUUUUAAAUCACUAAUUUUGGUUGAGAAAUAAGCUCGAAAUGAGCUUGGGAAAACAGCCUUGCAACCUGCAAAACGCAGGCUUUCAUGAGGAAGACGAGUACAUUGGUACUCGCUGCGCAUAGACGCGUGUGGAUAGAGCCCAGCCCUCGGCACAUGCAAUGCGUGGUUGCCAGUGUACAUCACACCGUACGCUCACUUUGGAUCCAUUGUAGGUUCCAAUCUUGUCCUAGAUUGCUACAGGAAAUUAUGACUCGUACGUGAUGCUCAUCAGUCUUCAUGUGAUUGUAGUACUAAAUCGUAAAUCAUUAUUACACCCAAUCAUGUUCAUGUCAGAAUACCUCUGCGUGAACUCGUGUGUCAACAUAUGUUGAUGAGCACAUGUUAGUAUAUGUUUGUUUAUUCGAGAUAUGAGGGUUACCGAGUGUUACGUGUUUACUUACAAAGUAUUAUGAAGUAUUGCAUCCUCGACGAUUUUACUGUUUACGGUACGUAUUUUCAUACUAUACAUAGUAUGUUAUAUUUGGAAACUAUACUUAUUUUACGGCGAAGGGAUUUUACAUUUUUGAAAAGGUUUUACAAACUUUAUUUUCAAGUCCAGUUACCCUUGUUU